AUCCUUUUGUAGUUCAUAAGAGUGAUGAUUGUGUGUUCACGUUCUAGUGUGAGAUGUGUCUUCCACAAACCUUGCUACCCUCACCUGGCCGGUGUGGCU